rnacentral:tRNA from 1 species
CCAUCGGUGGUUCAGUGGUAGAAUGCUCGUCUGCCACGCGGCCGGCCCGGGUUCGAUUCCCGGCCGAUGCA